rnacentral:tRNA from 2 species
CUGAAUAGACGGGCCUCGAUCCCGCG